GUGACAUACCACUUGUUGCCUCGGCGGAUCAGCCCGCUCCCGGUAAAACGGGACGGCCCGCCAGAGGACCCCUAAACUCUGUUUCUAUAUGUAACUUCUGAGUAAAACCAUAAAUAAAUCAAAACUUUCAACAACGGAUCUCUUGGUUCUGGCAUCGAUGAAGAACGCAGCAAAAUGCGAUAAGUAAUGUGAAUUGCAGAAUUCAGUGAAUCAUCGAAUCUUUGAACGCACAUUGCGCCCGCCAGUAUUCUGGCGGGCAUGCCUGUUCGAGCGUCAUUUCAACCCUCAAGCACAGCUUGGUGUUGGGACUCGCGUUAAUUCGCGUUCCUCAAAUUGAUUGGCGGUCACGUCGAGCUUCCAUAGCGUAGUAGUAAAACCCUCGUUACUGGUAAUCGUCGCGGCCACGCCGUUAAACCCCAACUUCUGAAUGUUGACCUCGGAUCAGGUAGGAAUACCCGCUGAACUUAAGCA
rnacentral:rRNA from 1 species